rnacentral:rRNA from 1 species
GCUGAAGACUUUAGCUUGCUAGAGUUGGAAGAGUUGCGAACGGGUGAGUAACGCGUAGGUAACCUGCCUAUUAGUGGGGGAUAACUAUUGGAAACGAUAGCUAAUACCGCAUAAUAGUGUUUAACACAUGUUAGAGACUUAAAAGAUGCAAUUGCAUCACUAGUAGAUGGACCUGCGUUGUAUUAGCUAGUUGGUGGGGUAACGGCCUACCAAGGCGACGAUACAUAGCCGACCUGAGAGGGUGAUCGGCCACACUGGGACUGAGACACGGCCCAGACUCCUACGGGAGGCAGCAGUAGGGAAUCUUCGGCAAUGGGGGCAACCCUGACCGAGCAACGCCGCGUGAGUGAAGAAGGUUUUCGGAUCGUAAAGCUCUGUUGUAAGAGAAGAACGUGUGUGAGAGUGGAAAGUUCACACAGUGACGGUAACUUACCAGAAAGGGACGGCUAACUACGUGCCAGCAGCCGCG